AACAGUCUGGCUGUCAACUCAAAAUUUUUAACAACAAUAGCCUCAAUAAACAAUAAUGUCAGGUUCGACCUCUUGGCAGGAGGAUAAAUGGAAAUGGCAUUAGAGAAAAAUGGCAGCUUUGGAGUACAGUUGCGUCUGUAAGAAGUAUUUUAUGGACAAAUAAACCUAUGACAGCGAAAAAGAAUGAUCAAAGCUUUCAGUUUAAAGCAGAGGAAAAACCCUGUCGAAGUCCGAAGCAUUCUGAGAUCACCUGCACAUCGCCUGACGCGGUGGUUGCUGCUCGAUUUUAAAUUGAAUUCAAUUGUUUCCGAAGGUCGCAUAUUAAUUUUCCCGGAGUAAAUUUCAAUCAAUGCACUUGACUGCAACAAAUUGUAUACGUAAAUGUGUAUGUAUCUAUAUAUCUAUCUAUCUAUCCACUCAACUAUUGAACGGCAAAAGCGAAGCAUCGAAGGGGCGGACGGACGACGGGUGACAGUUUCCGUUGCCGCAGCAGGCUUUAACUUGUCGUUUCCGACGUUGCUAUCGGAGACAGAUAUAGUAGUCGAGAGCGAGAAAGAACUUUGCAACAUGCUGUCAUUAUGGUGGGGUGGCCAGGCGACAGUCUGCCUCCGCUGCAUCAGACGUUGCCGCGUUGCCGCGUCCUUCUGCCACAGCCACUGCCACUACCACUCGUAACUGUAAUUUCUUGGCGUUUAUUUUUGUGCUUUUUGUGCGAUAAAAUAAUCAUUUCAAGUAAAGAAAGAAAGAGAGAGAGAGGCAGAAAGGGAAGGAGCCAAAGAACGAAAGAAAAUAUGGUUGGGCCGGAGGGGGGGUGCCAAAAUAGAAUUAAAGUUCAAGUUUGGCGGAGAGAGGAGUGGAACAGGAUAGGACAUAAUGUUAUCAGCAUCUUAUUUGUAGCAUCAAAUAAAAAUCAAAUAAAAUUAUCAGUGCAACGUGUGAAUGCUUAACAAAUUGAUGUAA